rnacentral:tRNA from 1 species
CUGAUCGACACUCCGUUGAGUCGUCAAAGAUCGGUGAUGAGGAUCCCGUCCCCGCAGGGGGCGGGAUCUUCUG